rnacentral:rRNA from 1 species
CUCUUCGGAGGUGAGUAAAGUGGCGCAUGGGUGAGUAACACGUGGGUAAUCUGCCCUUAGGUUUGGGAUAACCCCGGGAAACCGGAGCUAAUACCGAAUGAGACCACGACGACCUCGGUCGAUGUGGGAAAAGAUGGCCUCUUCUUGAAAGCUAUCGCCAAAGGAUGAGCCCGCGGUUGAUUAGCUUGUUGGUGAGGUAACGGCUCACCAAGGCUCCGAUCAAUAGCUGGUCUGAGAGGAUGAUCAGCCACACUGGAACUGAGACACGGUCCAGACUCCUACGGGAGGCAGCAGUCGGGAAUAUUGGGCAAUGGGCGAAAGCCUGACCCAGCAACGCCGCGUGAAGGAUGAAGGCCCUAGGGUCGUAAACUUCUGUCGAGAGGGAAGAAUGCCUGCGGGUAAAUAAUCCGUAGGUUUGACGGUACCUCCAAAGGAAGCACCGGCUAACUCCGUGCCAGCAGCCGCGGUAAUACGGAGGGUGCAAGCGUUGUUCGGAUUUAUUGGGCGUAAAGCGAGUGUAGGCGGUUUGGCAAGUCGGAUGUGAAAUCCCAGGGCCCAACCCUGGAACUGCAUCCGAUACUGUCAGGCUAGAAUUCCGGAGAGGGUGGCGGAAUUCCCGGUGUAGGGGUGAAAUCCGUAGAUAUCGGGAGGAACACCAGUGGCGAAGGCGGCCACCUGGA